GUGACCUCAGUGUGUUUCCCUUUCGCGCGAAAGAAUAGGUGCGAACAAGUUACCAACAAAACGUACAGCGAAAGACAAAUGCAAAACAUUUCAGGCUGUCAUGCCAACCUGUAUACAUUUUAACAUCAAUGUACUGUAACGUUUUUUCACUCGCUGAAGCGGCUGCAGUUUAGAUCCUGUCGGGUCUCUGCAGCGGGCGGGGCUGCUCAGUUCUCCCCGCGACUGACGUGCGCGCACACAUACAUAAACACACACACACGGUGGAUGCAGGAAAAAAACGGAGAGGAGACAUACAGCAGGGCCUGACAGCUACGGUCGUUAUUUCAUCCAUGAAUCCCCAGUUGUUGGACCGACGCUCACAGAGACAGUGGACCCACACUGCACGACUCCGGCAUAUCAUUCCCAACUAUAUGUGUGAGGACUGACCUAUGCAGGGUGUGUCGCCAACCCGUCCCUCCAUCUUGUUCAGGACCCCACCAGUGGAGGUCGCACAGGCUACGUUGCCCUCAUUAUCAACUGCCACUGCUCCAACUGUGCCCAUCUUCCACCUACACAACAAAACAUACAGGAACAGCAGAAUUAG